GGGCUCGUAGCUCAGCGGCAGAGCGCCACUCUUAUAAAGUGGAUGUCGAUGGUUCGAAUCCAUCCGAGCCCA
rnacentral:tRNA from 1 species